rnacentral:rRNA from 1 species
AGCUCCAAUAGCGUAUAUUAAAGUUGUUGCGGUUAAAAAGCUCGUAGUUGGAUUUCUGUUGAGGUUGGGCGGUCCGCACUACGUGCGAGUAUCUGCUUCGACCUUGGCAUCCUCUCGGAAAACGUAACUGUGCUUGAUUGCAUGGUGCGGGGUUCGGGACUUUUACUUUGAGGAAAUUAGAGUGUUCACGGCAGGCAAUCGCCCUGAAUAUAUUAGCAUGGAAUAAUAAUAUAGGAUCUGAUGCCUAUUUUGUUGGUUUCUAGGCGUGAGAUAAUGAUUAAUAGGGACAAUUAGGGGGAUUCGUAUUAUGGCGUCAGAGGUGGAAUUCUUGGAUUGCCAUACGACGAACUACUGCGAAAGCAUUUCUCAGGGAUGUUUUCA